rnacentral:rRNA from 1 species
GCGACAAGCGGUGGAGCAUGUGGUUUAAUUCGAUGAUACGCGAGGAACCUUACCUGGGCUCAAAUGUAUGUUGACGUAUUCUGAAAGGGAUACUUCUUCGGACAAUAUACAAGGUGCUGCAUGGUUGUCGUCAGCUCGUGCCGUGAGGUGUCGGGUUAAGUCCCAUAACGAGCGCAACCCCUAUCAUUAGUUGCCAUCAGGUUAAGCUGGGGACUCUAAAGGAACUGCCUACGCAAGUAGUGAGGAAGGCGGGGAUGACGUCAAAUCAGCACGGCCCUUACGUCCAGGGCUACACACGUGCUACAAUGGCCGAUACAGAGGGCAGCUACCUGGUGACAGGAUGCAAAUCUCCAAAGUCGGUCUCAGUUCGGAUCGGAGUCUGCAACCCGACUCCGUGAAGUUGGAUUCGCUAGUAAUCGCGCAUCAGCCAUGGCGCGGUGAAUACGUUCCCGGGCCUU